CUCUGGCGAAUGCCUUGGACAUCAUCCAAGGGGAUAACAACGUUUUUAUGGGGACGCUGCUAUCGACAGUGGCCGUUGUCCUAAAGAAACUCGAAAGCACGCGAGAGACAGAACUACGCUUUUGCCGUCCUCUAGUUGAUGCGCUAACUGCUGGAGUAAAAGCAUGGUUCGCCUCAGUCAUGGCACGAAAAGACCUCAUCAUUGCCACUGCUUUGAUGCCAAGAUUUAGAACUAACCUUGCAUGGCUGUCUGUCCGUGAACAAACUGCCCUCUACGAGCAGAUGAAGCACGAAGUAGGGCAAUGGACAAGAAGUGAACCGACUACAAGCCAAGCGGACGAAAGCGACGAUUUUUUCUCCGUCCUGGAUGAAACGAAUUUUGGGGAAGCUAAAGGUUUUUAGAUCCCGCAAGGGGCAUCAGCGUACGCGGACGUUUGGUGAGUGGCGCCACCACGGACCCUAGCCCCCAGUCCCAAGGUGUUAUCCGUACCCUGCCGAGGGGAUGAAAGGCGCAGAGUAGAAGCCUUGAGCGGUGGCGGUUGGGGUCUUGGUCAAGCCCCGGCCGAUGGAUUUUCCUUGAAACUCCGGGACCUUCCCACAUGUAUGAAUGUGAAGCGUGGGCGACCAAUAGGAACAUUCUUUUUCUUAAUCCUCGCGUGGUAAAACACUCAAACUCUCUUCCGAUCGGGUGCGGUAAGCGUCCCCGGACCGAAGUUCCCAUACUCAAAGCCAAUCCAUUUAGUGCCAAAUAUAUUGUAUUAUCUGCCGUGUCUUCAGGAAAUGAAAAAACUGUACCUCUUGGAAAGAUGUCA